UGUCCAUCAGCGACUGGACGAAUGAAAGAUUGAAUGUCUCAAAUAUUUGGAUUAACAUAAACGGGCAGCUGACAGGUGGCCUCAUAUGCAAAGUUUGGAACAAUGUCAGCCGUGAGGAGUCAGUAUAUCACUUAACAGCGUGCAAAGGUUCUGAGACUGUUGCUGUACCUGUGUUAUCUAUUAUUUUAAAAGCUGCCCUUGCUGCGGGUUUGGGUUUCAUGGUUUUUAAACUUUAUAAAAAAAGAAGACCAAUGCCAUCUAAUGAAGGAAACGCAGAAGAUUAAGUUAUCUAUGCAGAAGUAAAAAGGAGAACCAAACAAGACAUCGAAAGCAAUGCAGAGUGAC